rnacentral:rRNA from 1 species
ACACGACUACAUUAGAUACCCGGUAGUCCUAGCCGUAAACGAUACUCGCUAGGUGUCGGCCACGGUGCGACCGUUGUCGGUGCCGUAGGGAAGCCGUGAAGCGAGCCACCUGGGAAGUACGGCCGCAAGGCUGAAACUUAAACGAAUUGGCGGGGGAGCACCACAACGGGUGGAGCUUGCGGUUUAAUUGGAUUCAACGCCGGAAAUCUUACCGGGACCGACAGCAACAUGAAGGCCAGGCUGAAGACUUUGCCGGAUUAGCUG